rnacentral:tRNA from 1 species
UGAGGUGUGGCCCAGUGGUAUAGCGCUUGCCUAGUAAGUGUGAGGCCCUGGGAUCAAUCCCCAGCACUGCCA